AGGAGCGUGGCGCAAUUGGCAGACGCGCACGACUCAGACUCGUGUUGUUGAGGGUUCGACUCCUUCCGCUCCUACCA
rnacentral:tRNA from 1 species